rnacentral:rRNA from 1 species
AGAGUUUGAUCCUGGCUCAGGACGAACGCUGGCGGCGCGCCUAACACAUGCAAGUCGAACGAGCGAGAGAGAGCUUGCUUUCUCGAGCGAGUGGCGAACGGGUGAGUAACGCGUGAGGAACCUGCCUCAAAGAGGGGGACAACAGUUGGAAACGACUGCUAAUACCGCAUAAGCCCACGGCUCGGCAUCGAGCAGAGGGAAAAGGAGCAAUCCGCUUUGAGAUGGCCUCGCGUCCGAUUAGCUAGUUGGUGAGGUAAUGGCCCACCAAGGCGACGAUCGGUAGCCGGACUGAGAGGUUGAACGGCCACAUUGGGACUGAGACACGGCCCAGACUCCUACGGGAGGCAGCAGUGGGGAAUAUUGCACAAUGGGGGAAACCCUGAUGCAGCGACGCCGCGUGGAGGAAGAAGGUCUUCGGAUUGUAAACUCCUGUUGUUGAGGAAGAUAAUGACGGUACUCAACAAGGAAGUGACGGCUAACUACGUGCCAGCAGCCGCGGUAAAACGUAGGUCACAAGCGUUGUCCGGAAUUACUGGGUGUAAAGGGAGCGCAGGCGGGAAGACAAGUUGGAAGUGAAAUCCAUGGGCUCAACCCAUGAACUGCUUUCAAAACUGUUUUUCUUGAGUAGUGCAGAGGUAGGCGGAAUUCCCGGUGUAGCGGUGGAAUGCGUAGAUAUCGGGAGGAACACCAGUGGCGAAGGCGGCCUACUGGGCACCAACUGACGCUGAGGCUCGAAAGUGUGGGUAGCAAACAGGAUUAGAUACCCUGGUAGUCCACACUGUAAACGAUGAUUACUAGGUGUUGGAGGAUUGACCCCUUCAGUGCCGCAGUUAACACAAUAAGUAAUCCACCUGGGGAGUACGACCGCAAGGUUGAAACUCAAAGGAAUUGACGGGGGCCCGCACAAGCAGUGGAGUAU